GAAUAAGAAAAUAUUUGAGAGGACAUAUUUCACAGCUCUUUUUCUGUUCCCCUCUUCAGAGCUGUCCCAUCACCAAACCCGGCCUGACAGGACCCACAGGCAGCACUUAGACGAUGUGGGGGCCGUGCCCAUGGUGGAGCGAGUGACAGCGCCAAAAGCAGAGCGCUUGCUCAACCCACCACCACCCGUGCAUGACCCAAACCACAGCAAAAUGAGAUUGCGAGACCAUUCAUCUGAGAGAAGUGAAGUGUUGAAGCAUCACACAGACAUGAGCAGUUCGAGCUACUUGGCAGCCACCCACCAUCCUCCACACAGUCCCUUGGUGCGACAGCUCUCCACCUCCUCAGAUUCCCCUGCACCCGCCAGCUCUAGCUCACAGGUUACAGCCAGCACAUCGGUAAGUACCUGUGUGGGGUUGGCCGGACACCCCCUCUGCAGGUCACAGCUCACUCAAGUGGCUCCAGAGGACAGUGUGAGGGUGGGUUAUAAAGCCCAGGGCAUUUAUAGGAUCUCAGCUCAUCAUGACAUAUGUAUGUAUGUCUGUACCAUUUUUAAGUCAAAGUCAUGGUACUUGACCUUCUGUUGUUUUUCUUGAGUUGUUUUUCAUAGCAGAGAUGGAUUUAUGCUGAGCCAUCCAUAGAAAGCUUGAUGCAGGGACAAACUCUUAAGGUGAUCUGUGACUAUUCAAGAUCUGUUGGACUAAGUUUCACACAGGACUCAACAGUUCCGUGGCCCUAAUCCUGUUGGCCCAAGAAGUGAACAAGAGAGGAGGGGUGGGUAGAGGGGAGAUUCCCAUGGGCGUUGGAAGCAGUGUUUGAUUUCCUUGGUUUUACUCUCUGGGUGAGUGGAGGUGAAGUACUAAGAAUAAACACUAGGCGUGAGGGUACCAGAAGAGAAGGGAAGGGAGAAGGC
rnacentral:lncRNA from 1 species